AUGAUUUCGGUAAGACAUGACUGUUUCCAGAGGACCUGCAACACAACUAGCUCUCUGGAUCAGACAACACUCCUGACAGAUGCCACAUCACGUUGCAGUCCGGAGAACAUGGACAAGUCAUGUGCCAGGCCGCCCUGUGGUUCACUGGCUCGACCACAGAAACACAUUUCUAUUCCUCUGGCUAUAGUUUUUCUACCACAGUUUAGUUUCACAUCACACCAUGACAACUGGAUAAGGCAGAUUUUGGUUUCACGUUAGGGAUUGAAUAAAAUAUACGAAUUGGAAAUUGGCCCCCAUCUUUGCAACGUAUUGUAAUAGUCAUUGUUAUUUGAAAAUUGUAAUAUGAUGAUAGUUCAUAGCUUUACAAAUGGUUUUGAUUUUUCUUUAAUGGGUUUAGACUUAUUUUUGUAGGCCUAUUGUUACGUCGCAUACAAUUAAAAUGUUAUUAUUUGCCGCGCGAUGACAAUACCAGUCGAAGGAAGCUAAGCAUUUCCAUGCUCUUGGUAAUGACCUCACAGACGGGUCUCCCUAGCCAGUAGAAUGUCUGGGCCAGUUUCAUGGGGCAUGGUGGUGGUCUGUUCCUCGCUAGGAUGUCUGGUCUGGUCAGACCACUGGCUCAAAGCAGACCGCAUAUGCGCGCGCCGCUGUUUCCGUGACAGCUACUCAUUUUUUUGGAUUGUAGGCCCGGCGCUGGAAAACCAGGGUUUGAGAAUGAACCUCGCUUUAGAUUGCUAUUUAUUUGACUAGUUCAUGUAAAUAUUGAAUCUACUGUAUUACAAUUUCGAAAAGUUUGAUUUUGGAACAUCCUGGUGGGUCUUUAACCCAUGUCAGCAAAAAUAGAAAGUAAUCGCGUUGGAGCGUGAUGACUCGCACCUGAUUCACAAAGGCGUUAUGUUUGUAUUAUAGCUUCUUUGUUAUCGGUUAAUUAGUCCACGUACACAUCAUGGCUACUGAACAUAUUAAAACAAUCUCUUAUGUAAAAUAUAUUUGAUAACACUGAGUCGUGUCAUUUCACGAUAUGAAUCGAGUAGCAUUUUCAAAUCUG
rnacentral:lncRNA from 8 species